UACAGAGGUCUCAAGCGUUGUUCGGAUUCAUUGGGCGUAAAGGGUGCGUAGGCGGCGCGGUAAGUCGGGUGUGAAAUCUCGGAGCUUAACUCCGAAACUGCAUUCGAUACUGCUGUGCUUGAGGACUGGAGAGGAGACUGGAAUUUACGGUGUAGCGGUGAAAUGCGUAGAUAUCGUAAGGAAGACCAGUGGCGAAGGCGGGUCUCUGGACAGUUCCUGACGCUGAGGCGCGAAAGCCAGGGGAGCGAAUGGG
rnacentral:rRNA from 1 species